AGGUGUGAUCAUACCAGCACUAAUGCACUUGAUCCCAUCAGAACUCCGUAGAUAAGCGUGCUUAUGCAAGAAUACUACUAGAAUGGGUGACCUCCUGGGAAAUCCUAGUGUUACACCUC
rnacentral:rRNA from 2 species